AUCGAACGCUGGCGGCAUGCCUUACACAUGCAAGUCGAACGGCAGCACGGGAGCAAUCCUGGUGGCGAGUGGCGAACGGGUGAGUAAUGUAUCGGAACGUGCCCAGUCGUGGGGGAUAACGCAGCGAAAGCUGUGCUAAUACCGCAUACGAUCUAUGGAUGAAAGCGGGGGAUCGCAAGACCUCGCGCGAUUGGAGCGGCCGAUAUCAGAUUAGCUAGUUGGUGGGGUAAAAGCUUACCAAGGCGACGAUCUGUAGCUGGUCUGAGAGGACGACCAGCCACACUGGAACUGAGACACGGUCCAGACUCCUACGGGAGGCAGCAGUGGGGAAUUUUGGACAAUGGGCGCAAGCCUGAUCCAGCAAUGCCGCGUGCAGGAUGAAGGCCUUCGGGUUGUAAACUGCUUUUGUACGGAGCGAAAAGGCGCUCUCUAAUACAGGGGGCUCAUGACGGUACCGUAAGAAUAAGCACCGGCUAACUACGUGCCAGCCGCCGCAGUAA
rnacentral:rRNA from 1 species